rnacentral:rRNA from 1 species
AUGUCCAGCAUUAUUGUUCCUGUGUACAUCAAUGCGCCCGAGCUAUCUACAAUUCUUGAGAACAAUGCAGGACUUGAGUAUCUUACCAAGACAAGAAAAGUUUCUGCCAGAAGGCUGCUUAGUGCUAAUGCUCAUGGGUACCCUAUACCACCACCGGCGCUUGAAUACAUGAAGCAAUAUCACAAGGCAUAUUUCACAGAUGAGGCACAAGAGCAGUUGAAGGCGGCUGAUCCGUAUGUACCGAGCAGUGCACCAGCACACGAAGGCGAUGAUCAAAGCCAUACUUCUGAUGACAAUGGUGCAGAAAGAAAGAAACGUAAAGACUUGACAGAGAGUCCUACUCACCAAAAUCAAGUGUGUACUUCUGGUGUUUCGAGUGUACUCCAGCAAACGAUUUCUAAAAGGCCCAAGUUCUGUCUGGAAGAAAUUCAUAGGACAGGUCACCCUGAAGUGGACGUGAAAGGGAAAUCCGUUCCGUCUGCUACUCAUCCAGGAUUUCUAACUGAAGAUGAACUUAAGCUGGCAGGAGUUUCAGCUACCCCUGAGGAGUACCAAGAAUUUCUCAAGACAAUGGAGAUGAUGUACGAAACAUAUGAGAAUCCAUGUUAUGACGCUGAAGGCCUAGCUCUCGGUUCAUUGAAGAGAUCAGAGUAUUUCCUAAUGCCAGAUACCAUACAGUAUGAACCAUGUACAGUUGAUAGCAUUUGCCGAGGGCCUGCAUUUUGGAAACCUGAUCAAAAGCUAGUCUCUCAGGUGUACGCCCUGGCCAAAGCGCAGGCGCUGCAGCUUGGCAUUGCAGGGGACAGGCAAAUCAAGUGGGCGGUUCUACGAGCUCAGGCAUUUUCUGCUGGCUGGUACCAUGGACAGAAAUAUUCAAGGCUUUGUUCGCCUCCGGAGAACUCAGCUGAGAUUUAUGCCAACGACCUGGGAGCCAUUGAGAAAUACCUUUCUGAUGCUUGGAAGCUUGCCUGCUUCCUGCCAUUUCUCCACGAGUUGGCGUUCCGAACGAUUGGUAGCACAUGGUCAUGGAAUUCCGACAAUGCAACUAAAUAUGAAGGCAGAGCAAGGAAGUUUGCUGAUUCUUCAUCAGUUGCUCCUGCUCUAUCUUACCUGACAGGUAAAGACCUUUAUGGUCCUGCUCUGCAAUGGAUUGGUGUGGAGAUGCCUAUGAAGGUCCUUCAGAGAAAAGUUGGUCGUGAUGCGAUACCUGAAGUUUUCGCUCUCCAAUGCAAAGCAGCUCCUGCUGGUAAAGCCCUGAUCACUACCACUCAUGCUGUUGUAAAGGAGCUGAAGACUUUGGACUGCUGGAAAUCCAUACAGGAUAUGCGUAAAUUGAAUGAUACAAUAGUUAGUGCAAUGGCAGGGAAGAUUCAAGCAAACCCUUGGAAGUAUCACGCAAUGCCAAAGCCUUAUAACCUGAAGCCUUUAAGUGAAGAAGAACAACUUGAGGUCGCUGCUGCUAUGACCUGUGCUGAAGAUUUUGCACCGAUAACCUUUGCGUUUACUCAGUCUGUGAUGGGACAUCAUCAACUUCUAGGGUACAUGGCACUAAAGAAGUAUGCUAGCGGUGCUCUCUAUGAGCGCUUCAAAAAGUUCUUUGCUUUUAUGAGGAAAAAGUUAGCUAAGGAUAUCGGCGCAAAGGUAGUUGCUGAGGCAUCUGGUAUUCCCCAAAGAUGA